rnacentral:rRNA from 1 species
UACGUAGGUGGCGAGCGUUAUCCGGAAUUACUGGGUGUAAAGGGAGCGCAGGCGGGGCGACAAGUCAGCUGUGAAAACUAUGGGCUUAACUCAUAGACUGCAGUUGAAACUGUUGCUCUUGAGUGGAGUAGAGGCAAGCGGAAUUCCGAGUGUAGCGGUGAAAUGCGUAGAUAUUCGGAGGAACACCAGUGGCGAAGGCGGCUUGCUGGGCUCUAACUGGCGCUGAGGCUCGAAAGUGUGGGGAGCGAACAGGAUUA